CCUACGGGUGGCUGCAGUGGGGAAUAUUGGACAAUGGGCGAAAGCCUGAUCCAGCCAUGCCGCGUGUGUGAAGAAGGCCUUCGGGUUGUAAAGCACUUUCAGUGGGGAAGAAAGCCUUGGGGCUAAUACCCUCGAGGAAGGACAUCACCCACAGAAGAAGCACCGGCUAACUCCGUGCCAGCAGCCGCGGUAAUACGGAGGGUGCGAGCGUUAUCGGAAUUACUGGGCGUAAAGCGCGCGUAGGCGGUCUGAUAAGCCGGUUGUGAAAGCCCCGGGCUCAACCUGGGAACGGCAUCCGGAACUGUCAGGCUAGAGUGCAGGAGAGGAAGGUAGAAUUCCCGGUGUAGCGGUGAAAUGCGUAGAGAUCGGGAGGAAUACCAGUGGCGAAGGCGGCCUUCUGGACUGACACUGACGCUGAGGUGCGAAAGCGUGGGUAGCAAACAGGAUUAGAUACCCUUGUAGUC
rnacentral:rRNA from 1 species